UCCUUUUGUUUUUUAUUUAAGGUCUGACCUGCCCAAUGAGGAAUUGAAUGGCCGCAGUAUUUUAACUGUGCUAAGGUAGCAUAAUCAUUUGUCUUUUAAUUGAGGGCUGGAAUGAAAGGUUGGACGAAAUAUUAGCUUUCUUUGUCUUAAUUUGAAGAACUUAAUUUUUGAGUUAAAAAGCUUAAAUAUUCUUGUUGGACGAGAAGACCCUAUAGAUCUUUAUAAUUUUAUGUUUUGGUAAUUUAGAUUAUUAUUUACUUAAAGCAGAGUAAUUAUUUUGUUGGGGUGACAGUAGAAUUAAAAUAACUUCUA
rnacentral:rRNA from 1 species